rnacentral:tRNA from 1 species
GGAAGUGGAUAGCUCUCUGGUGGGGCUCCCGGACUUCAAAUCCGGUGUGGGGCAUGAGUAAUGUCUCGGGUGGGUUCGAUUCCCAUGCACUUCC